GCUCUCUCCUCACCCAGCGUACUUCUCGCGGCUCCCUCACUCUCCGGCGGAGUGGAGAGAGAAGUCAUUUUCCGUCGAGUCCUGGUCGGCGCCGUUCUCGUCAGAGACAUUCUUGUCGGUGCCAUCUCUCCUCCUCGAGUCUUUAUCGCCGUCUGCCCCUCGCCGCGUGCUUCCUCUGCUCGUUCCGCCAUUGUCGCAGAUCGUCACAUUGUUGCUCGUAGAUCGUCCUGUCCAGAUCUGCCGUAGAUCGUUCCAUUCUCAGGGUUCUUAAAGGCAUUCUAGUCUUCUUGCUGUCCUGAAUGGUGGUAAAUCAUGUGAGGAUAAGCAAAAACAGAAGCAAGAGGAAGCUUCUACUUCUGAGAAUCAAUCACCGUGCUGGUGCCUCCGCUGAACUUCGCCGUGGUGGACAACGGCAUUUUCCGCUCUGGUUUUCCCGAACCCGCCAACUUCGGGUUCCUGAAAUCGCUCCACCUCCGUUCCGUUAUAUGUUUGUGCCCCGAGCCCUAUCCGGAACCCAAUUCAGAAUUUCUGAAGUUUCAUGGAAUUAGGCUUUUCCAAUUCGGGAUCGAUGGCUGUAAGGUUUCGUAAUUUCUCCUUUCAUUCUGGUCUUGAUCACAACAAGUAAUUUAAGUAUAGCUUUCAACAAGUAAUUAGACUUUUUAUAUGUAGUUGAAGCUUCUGGUGUAGAAUCAUAUCACAAACACUGAUUGUGAUAUAAACACAAGCAUGCACACUGCAUUAUGUGCUGAACUAGGAAGAUGAUUUCAGCAGGGAUUGGUUAUGAAUUUAUCAGACAAUUAGACAUGAUCACAUCACAUGAAUAUUAUUUCCAAGAAUCUAGCAUUUGAAUGCCAUAUAUCUGGUUCCCUUUAACAUUUCAGUUGAAUUAUAAGUUCACCUCCACAAGCUCCAUUUCAUAUUCACUGUAUAAUCCAAUAUACAAACACCAAAUGUGUAAUAUAUUAAUAGGAGCUUCAGAAGAGACUCUAAUGCUUGCCGAACCUAUGGCUGGUAGUUGUGCCUGCUCAUACGAAUUUGGUCUUUAUGUGAUGUGCUGCUGCUUGUUUCAAAUAAUAUUAUGUAGAUGAAUGUUAUUUAAAAGUAGUUUCCCUCCUUGGCUUGCACAGCACAACUGAUCCUACUACUGGAUUCAUAUCCAAAGAGUUGUCAAGUGAAUAGUGGCUAUUUUAUGUGCUGCUCCAAGGAAGCCUUUAGAAUUAGUGUGGUGAUGAAGAUAUGAGUAGUCCGCAGAAAGUUCCUAUAAGUUUAAUAAUUCUGCUUCUUGUUGUUACAUUAGAGAAGGUUUAAAAAAAAAACACUGCACGAGUCCAUGGUAAUUUUUGUUCUUGUAGCUUCUCCCUUGUCCAAUACAGAUUAUAGUAUCUUAUUAAUUAAAGUUUUGAAGCUGCCUGAUAUAGUGAACUCAAUCAUUCAUGUUUGCUUUCCACUGGAUAAUGACAUUUUUAUCUGGGAGUUAAGGCUACGCUAUGGGGAUGCCUUGGCCCUUGGGUUAUUUCUCUUAACUGGAAAAAGAUUCACAAUAUUAAGUUUUCAACUUAUGUCUUAAAUUAUGUACUAUUAUAUAUUCUCAGCGUUGAUUACACUUGUGGGUAGGAACCCUUUGUCAACAUCCCAAAGGGUACUAUUUGAGAAGCUUUGAAAGUAGUCCUAGGUAUUACACACUCUUUAACUUCUUUACUACAAUGUUAGCCCUUAGCACAACCUGUUGAGCGAUAUAUUAAUCUAACGUUGUUUGCUUGCAUCAGAUGUUAGAAACCACCCGUGCUAAUUCAUUGUAAACGAGGGAAGGUACUAAAAUUUGUUUUUCUUGUUCCCUGUUACUAACACUUGAGUUAUUACUCCCAGACUUAAGGUUUUUAGCUUUUGCAUGAUGAGUUUAUGGUCGCUAAAGAUCUGUUUUUAUACAUCUGGGAAACCAUCAUCUGCUGCUGGAUUGACUGCAACAGUUGCUAAGGAACCAGAAACUGGAGAGUUUUGUAUUGAGUGUGGAGUCUGGUGACAUUGAUCUAAGGCUAAGGCUAUUAAUCCUUAUUCUGCAUCUGCACUCUACAGUGUUUUGGCAACCUUGGUGAAGAACAAAGUUGUGCCUGAUCCAAGAUUCAAGGUUAAGAUUGCUUAAAGAUUCUGUUGUGGUUUGUAUUGGUUGCAGCUCCAAAAGCAGUGGAAAAAUGAAAGAGAAAAAAUUAGUGCAGAAAAUCAGAAAUUGUUGAACCAUAUUGAUUGUUCAUGAAUAGAGCAAAGUUAUGUUAUUCAUGAAUUAUUUUUCUCUUUAGUCUAGAUUGUGGAUAAUAAUUUUGAUGUAUUUAGGAAUUUUCAAUAUUUUAAAUUUUAUAUUUUUAUGUAGACAUGGUGAAUGUUUUUGGUAUUUAUUAGAAAAAUUGAUUUAUGUUUAA